ACUAGGAUCUGCUACAUAAGCAAUUGGACCCAUACCCCAAAAACGAUAAUAUGAUAUCUCCCAGUA
rnacentral:tRNA from 1 species